CCUACGGGAGGGCAGCAGUGGGGAAUAUUGCACAAUGGGCGCAAGCCUGAUGCAGCCAUGCCGCGUGUAUGAAGAAGGCCUUCGGGUUGUAAAGUACUUUCAGCAGUGAGGAAGGUGGGUAUGUUAAUAGCAUAUUCAUUUGACGUUAGCUGCAGAAGAAGCACCGGCUAACUCCGUGCCAGCAGCCGCGGUAAUACGGAGGGUGCGAGCGUUAAUCGGAAUUACUGGGCGUAAAGCGCAUGCAGGUGGUUUGUUAAGUCAGAUGUGAAAGCCCGGGGCUCAACCUCGGAAUUGCAUUUGAAACUGGCAAACUAGAGUACUGUAGAGGGGGUAGAAUUUCAGGUGUAGCGGUGAAAUGCGUAGAGAUCUGAAGGAAUACCGGUGGCGAAGGCGGCCCCCUGGACAGAUACUGACACUCAGAUGCGAAAGCGUGGGGAGCAAACAGGAUUAGAUACCCUGGUAG
rnacentral:rRNA from 1 species